GACGAACGCUGGCGGCGUGCCUAAUACAUGCAAGUAGAACGCUGAAGGAGGAGCUUGCUUCUCUGGAUGAGUUGCGAACGGGUGAGUAACGCGUAGGUAACCUGCCUGGUAGCGGGGGAUAACUAUUGGAAACGAUAGCUAAUACCGCAUAAUAGUAGAUGUUGCAUGACAUUUGCUUAAAAGGUGCAAUUGCAUCACUACCAGAUGGACCUGCGUUGUAUUAGCUAGUUGGUGGGGUAACGGCUCACCAAGGCGACGAUACAUAGCCGACCUGAGAGGGUGAUCGGCCACACUGGGACUGAGACACGGCCCAGACUCCUACGGGAGGCAGCAGUAGGGAAUCUUCGGCAAUGGGCGGAAGUCUGACCGAGCAACGCCGCGUGAGUGAAGAAGGUUUUCGGAUCGUAAAGCUCUGUUGUAAGAGAAGAACGAGUGUGAGAGUGGAAAGUUCACACUGUGACGGUAUCUUACCAGAAAGGGACGGCUAACUACGUG
rnacentral:rRNA from 1 species